rnacentral:rRNA from 1 species
AUUGAACGCUGGCGGCAGGCUUAACACAUGCAAGUCGAGCGGAGUGAUGGUGCUUGCACUAUCACUUAGCGGCGGACGGGUGAGUAAUGCUUAGGAAUCUGCCAUUUAGUGGGGGACAACAUUCCGAAAGGAAUGCUAAUACCGCAUACGUCCUACGGGAGAAAGCAGGGGCUCUUCGGACCUUGCGCUAAAUGAUGAGCCUAAGUCGGAUUAGCUAGUUGGUGGGGUAAAGGCCUACCAAGGCGACGAUCUGUAGCGGGUCUGAGAGGAUGAUCCGCCACACUGGGACUGAGACACGGCCCAGACUCCUACGGGAGGCAGCAGUGGGGAAUAUUGGACAAUUGGCGGAAGCCUGAUCCAGCCAUGCCGCGUGUGUGAAGAAGGCCUUUUGGUUGUAAAGCACUUUAAGCGAGGAGGAGGCUCUUCUAGUUAAUACCUAGGAUGAGUGGACGUUACUCGCAGAAUAAGCACCGGCUAACUCUGUGCCAGCCGCCGCCGUAACAC